rnacentral:lncRNA from 1 species
AAUCGAUUACACUGUGCUUGUUAAUGGUGAGUAGGUUGGCCCUAUUAUUCCAGGGCGUGGUCUCCGACAAGGGGAUCCUCUUUCCCCCUAUUUGUUUAUUAUAUGUGCAGAGGGCUUAUCAACGCUUAUCAACGAUGCCGAGCGGAGAGGUGUUCUUACGGGAACCAAGGUUUGUCGCCAAGCACCUUCUGUUUCCCAUCUUUUGUUCGCUGAUGAUUGUUUUCUAUUUUUCAAAGCUAUUGAGGAGCAUGCUCAUGUAAUGAAAAAUAUAUUAUCCACUUACGAGUUAGCCUCGGGUCAAGCGAUCAGCUUGCCAAAAUCAGAGAUCUAUUGCAGCCGCAAUGUCCCUAGCGAUCUUAAAACUACUAUCACAGACAUCCUUGGCGUUCAAGUUGUUUUAGGUACAGGUAAAUAUCUGGGCCUACCUUCUAUGAUAGGCCGAGACAGCAAAGCUACGUUUACAUAUAUUAAGGAUUGCGUUUGGCAGAAAAUUCAUUCCUGGAGUGGUAAGUGUCUUUCGAAAGCGGGUCGUGAGGUAAUGAUAAAAAUCUGUUUUGUAAUCUAUUCCCACUUAUGUAAUGAGUAUUUUUCAGCUACCUAGUACUUUGAUUGACUCCAUAGAAAAGAUGAUGAACUCCUUUUGGUGGGGUCAUGGCAAAACGACCCAACGCGGGAUACAUUGGAUGAAUUGGGAGAAGCUGUCGGCACCAAAUAUUCAUGGAGGUAUGGGUUUUAAGGACCUCUCUGCUUUUAAUUUAGCUAUGUUGGGGAAACAGGGAUGGAAAUUUAUUACCAAAUCGGACUCUCUUGUUGCUCGCAUUUUCAAAGCUUGAUAUUUCCCUUCUGGUUCCUAUCUCACGGCUAUUGUUGGACAUAACCCGAGCUAUGUCUGGCGCAGUAUCAUGCGCGCUAGAUUUAUAAUGCGUGGGGGAGCACGGUGGAGCAUAGGAUAAGGUGCUACCAUACCCAUUCUCAACGAACCUUGGUUGUCUAAUGGGGAGUUUAUUAGUAGUGAUAUUCUAGGUGCUCAUUUUGUUCAUAAUUUUACUAUUAAUAGUCUGAUGAAUUUGCAUGACAAAAGCUGGAAUGAGAAGGUAGUUAGACAGGUAUUAAGCGUGGAUAUUGCAGAUAAAAUACUUCAUACGCCACUUAUUUCUCAAGUUGAGGAAGAUAGAAUUAUUUGGAAAGAAGAAAGGCACAAAAGCUACACUGUACGUAGUGCUUACAGGUUGUGUGUAACAGAUUUAAUUGAUUCUUCCUAUUUAUGGCGGCCGGGGUAUUGGUCUGGUAUUUGGAACCUUAAAGUUCCACCGAAGGUUAAGAAUUUAAUUUGGCGUAUGUGUCGAGGAUGUUUACCAACCCGUGUUCGUCUGUUGGAUUAAGACGUCGUUUGUCCCACUAACUGUUCUAGCUGUGACUCUACUCAUGAGGAUCUUUUGCAUGUUUUUUUCGAUUGUUCUUUUUCUUUACAGGUGUGGAACAGGACCGGCCUUUGGAGCUCGGUACAACACGCCCUCACUCAUACUACUUCAGCUAAGGACGCUAUUUUCUCUCUUUUGGAGACUUUGUCUGCUAAGUUAUCUCAACGUCUGUCAACUGUCAUAUGGAGCUUAUGGAAACACUGUAAUCUUAGAGUUUAGGACGAUGUUACAGAAACAAGUGUUGUGGUUGUAGAGCGUGCUAGGAACAUGAUUACGGAUUGGCAACUAGCGAAUUCUCCGGAUGUCCUUGCAUCCACUUCGCCUCCUUAGCAUGUCAUGGUCGCGCAUAUGGGGGCCUCCUCCUCACAGCAACACAACAUAAUAUUGUGGCAGCCCCCCACAUCAGGUAGAUAUAAGUGUAAUAUCGACGCAUCGUUUUCUUCUCUUCAUAAUCGCACAAGUAUUGGCAUUUGUAUUCGCGACUCGAAAGGUAGUUUUGUUCUGGCUAAGACUAAUGCAUACCCAUGUAUUGUUUCGGUGGAUGUUGGAGAAGCUUUAGGGCUGCACUCUGCUUUGCAAUGGUUGGGUGAUAUGCAGCUUGAUAAUGUGGACUUUGAAACAGAUUCUAAAGUAACAGUUGAUGCCUUCCUUUCUACACGGAACGACCUGUCUGAAUUUGGUUCUAUUAUUUCUUCUUGUCGUUCUUUGUUCCGUAAUUUAUAUUCUAACUCUAGGGUGGAGUUUGUUAGGCGACAAGCCAACGCGGUUGCUCAUGCUCUUGCACGAGAACUCACGUCUUUAGCUAGUCCCGCCGUUUAUUAUGAUAUACCCAAUUGUAUUGAGACUAUUAUGAUUAAUGAAAUGCUAUAAGCACAUUUUCCUAAAAAAAAAAAAAACAAGGCAUAUAUAUGUAGAUACUCAAUAAAUAUUUCUAUUUGCUUCUAAAAUUAAUACCUAAGUUAUAAAAUAUGCAUGAAUGAAAAACUACACAAUGUAAUCGGUUGUUUUGUAUUUAAUCAAUCUGCAUAUCAUCUUAACAAAUGAUAUGAUUCUUGGAGAUUUGUAUCACUUUUUCAAGUUAUAUGAUUCUCAUUGUAUGUGAUUGCUAUUUUUUUAAGUUAAAUUAGUCCACUUAAAUUGACAUCCACAAAAAUCAAAUACGAGACGAUGAGGAAUACACUUCAAGAUCUCAAAUCAGCACUAUCAGAUUAACUUAAAUGGGUUGUCAUUGUUAUUCUUAUACUAGUUAGUGUAUUGUUGAAACAAAACUAUUUAAACAUUCAUUUAUUACAUUUCAUGAAUGUGGGACUAUUGUAAAGAAGAAACAUAUGACAAGGAAAGAAAAAGAGAAUAAGAAAAUGGUGAGAGAUGAAAGGUUUAAAUGGUGAUCAUUGGAUUAAAACAAAGGAUUACGAUUAAAAAAUUGCACGUGAUAUCUUAAAUUCACACGCGUUUUAGUUAUGCAAGUUAUCACGUGCGCUUUUUAAUGAGUUGUUUAAUUUCAAUUAUGCAACAUUAGAUGCAAUUAGAAAAAUCAAAAUCUGUUGUUUCUAUACUAUAUAGAUUCAUACAUUAAUGUUGUAAGUUAUCUUAAUUAUAGUACCUCACAUGCAUGCAGAUAACUUCUAUCUCAGUUAUAGUACCUACCCCUUCAGUAAUUUUGUCCGUUCAGAUUUUUUAUGGAGAAAUAUUGUUCGUUCGGGGAAAUUUUGUGGAAAUUAUUCCUGCUCCUUAUGUUAAUCAAUUAAAUUGAUGUGGAAAUUUUAUGUCAAAUAUGUUGAUAACACAACUCAAACUACAUACACAUAAACCCAAACUUUAAGAUAAUGCUAUCCAGUACCACAGAGCACUGAUUAAGGAACAAUAAAAUUAAUUGAUUCUACUUAAUUUACUCUAAUUAAAGUGAAAAGUUGGUCAACUUAAUUAAAAUAGGAAUAGCUGUAUUCAAUACUCAUUAAACUCCAUCAAUAUGAUUUUGUAUUUCAUACUUUAAUUGGAUAUGUUUUAUCUUUGUAAUUGCAAAUUUAUUUUGGACUAUAUAAUGUUUGUCUUAUUUUAAUAAUUUCUACAACUUUUAAUUAAAAAAAAACAAUAGUUUUUUUCACCGUAAAAAAGUCAUGGAAAAAAAUUGGUUUGAAUAUAGACUUUUCAGUGAAUUGGCUUGCAAAAAAAAAAAUCACAGAAAAAAAAACUCGGUUGAAGUAAAAUUCACAAGAAGAGAAAAAAUUGUUAAGAUAUGAAAGGAAGCAAGGGGACUAAAAAAAAAGGAUUCUAAAAAGUUCACAAGAAAAAAAAUGAAAGGAAACGUAUCUUUCUAAAGAGUAUUAAAUGCAGCGUUUUUCUAUUUUAAUUAAGUUAAUAAACUUUUCAAUUUAAUUGAAUGAAAUUAAAUGAGACACUUUAAUAUUAUUGUUCCUUAACCAGUGCUCUGAGGGCACCGGUUAGCAACACCCAAAACUUUAUUCACACUACUUAAUUUGUUGAUAAAUUUACUAACCAAUGGCAACUUAUAAAAGGCUUUUCUGGAUGCAUGGAAAGAGACGUGUAGUGCAAUGCAUGAAAGCUCAACACUUAUAUGAAGGUAAACAUUCUACCUAUCUAUUUAUUAUAAUAAAUUACUUUUCCACGACAUGAAUUAUAAAUUAGAGUUGUGUUAUUUGUACAACUAAAAUUGAACAAUUAAUGUAACACCAUAUAACAUUGUGAGAAGCACGUAAAUCGAAAUCAAUCAAAAAAUAUUAAAAAAUAGCAAAUAAGUUGUUGGUUGUACAAACGAGAUGUUCACAUAUCAUUCCUCGUUGAAAUAAUAUCUAUUACUCCCUCCGUCCCAAAUUGUAUGUCACUUUAGAAAAAAUAUUUGUCCCAAAUUAUAUGUCGUUUUACAAUACCAAUGAAAAAUUAAUGUUACUUUUCCUAUUAUAUCCUUAACUAUUUAUUACUCUCUCUUCUUUCAAUUCCUUCAUUUAUCUUUCCUAUAUCAUUUAUUAAGGAUAAUUUUGUAAAACAACUCAUAAUAUCUCUUUCCCACACAAUAUUAAUUACAUUUCUUAAUAUAUGCGAAAUAUCCAAAACUUCAUACAAUUUGGGACAGAGAGAGUAUUUACUUGUUAUGUAAGAAGUCAUGAGAUUGAUCACAUUGACAAACUAUAACAGAGACUGUUAGAUUUUGCAGUCUCUACAACUACAACACCAUACUACAGUUCAACAGGAUUCAAACACAAUUUCACAUAUCUAAUUUGUGUUAAAUCCCAUAAUCUUGUAUCUAACUCAGUUAAUGAAAAUAAUUCGGGACAGAUUCGGGAAGCAUUCUCUCACGAGAUAUACCAUUUCCCUAUAAAAUAUUGCUUCCAAAAUGAUAUGAUGGAAUUUGAUAUUACUAUGAAAAGUAAAAAAUUGCGACAAAAACAAGUGGUGAAAAAAUUAAAUUCCUCUCUAAUUGUUUAGUGACAGAAUAGAGAGUUAUUUCAUGUUUUCCCUCUCUAAGUUUACGUUGGGAUUGAAUUAAAUAUACAAAUAUAUUAAUCAAUCCAUGAGAUUAUGAGCAAAUAUAUGUACUAAAUAAUAAAAAUCAAACUAUAGAACCAAGAAAUAUUGAAAUUUCAAACAAAAUUAAGGCUUACUACUAACAUCAUUAAUUCCAGUGUUAUUUUCCUAACAAUCGAUAUACAUGUUUUUUCCUUAUUCAAUUUUUUUUUUGUCCAAAUUAUUAUAAUUUAUAUGCAUUUUUGGAAUUGGUAGCUUGAAGGAACUAUCUUAGCCCCAAAAAAUAUUGAAGCAUGGAAAUGGCCAAAUAACAAUGAUAGAGGCUUAUGGAUCCGUUUUAUAGAGAUAAUUGCUAUUCCGUUGUGAGGCUAUAUCAUAAACUUAUUAAUGGACCUUUAGUUAUCCCAAUCAAACAUUAAAAGGUCCACUUUGUAAAUAAAAUCCAUUUGUAAUAGAAAAUUUGCUCUUUUGACACCUAUGCUUUGAUCGCAAAUACCUUGAAGUAACCAAAAAAUUUCAACGAUAAUUAAUUAUCGUUCGUUGCUGAGUAAUAGUUAAUUGAUGCUUGCUGCUGAACAGUUAUUUAUUGUUAUUCUGUUGUGAAGCUAUAUCAGAAACUUAUUAAUGGACCUUUUACUAUCCCAAUCAAACAUUAAAAGGCCCACUUUCUAAAUAAAAUCCAGUUGUAAUAGAAAAUUUGCUCUUUAGACACCUAUGCUUUGAUCGCAAAUACCUUGAAGUAACCAAAAUUUUCCAAUGACAAUUAAUUACCGUUCGUUGCUGAGUAAUAAUUAAUUGUCGCUCGCUGCUAAACGGUUAUUAAUUGCUAUUCUGUUAUGAGACUAUAUAAGAAACAAAAAUAACACCCAUCACAUAUUCAAAUUCAUUUAAUAAUAGAUUGUUAUAUUUAUGUUUGCGAUCAUUUUGCAAACCAUUUCAAAUCAUAUAUGUUUACCAAACCUACUAUUGAUGCGCUUUAGUUCAAGUCUUUAACCGUAGCUGAUGGCGGUCUAUCAUUAGAGCAUUUUUUGAAGAAGAGGUUAAACAGACAGUAUGAGACUGUGAUAAUUUCAAAAGUCCCGGACUUGACGAAAUCAAUUUUGGCUUCAUCAAGAAGUUCUUGGGUAGAUAAAACAACUAUUUUCAUGCUUUUUAUUGGUGAGUUUUAUAGGAAUGGGAAAUUGGUGAAGGGCAUUAAUUCCCCUUUCAUUAUAUUAAUCCCUAAGGUCGAGAAUCCUCAAGUUCUAUCUAUUUUUCAUCCAAUUUUUCUAAUCAGAUGUAUGUAUAAUGUGUUGACGAAAGUGUAGGCCAAUAGGUUGGCAAUGUGAUUGACACUCCCAUUUUUGAGUCUCAAUCAACCUUUGUUAAAGGCCAACAGAUUUCGGACGACAUUCUUAUUGCAAAUGAAGCAGUUGAUGACGCUCGCAAGUUAAAGAAGUAAUUAAUGUUGUUUAAAUUUGAUUUCGAGAAAGCCUAUGAUCCGGUUCAUUGUAAUUAUUUGAAAUCAGUUAUGAAGAAAAUGAAUUUUCCAACUACGUGGAGGAAGAGGGCUAUGGAAUGUGUGAUGUCGGCUUCAGCAUAUGUUUUGAGAAAUGACAGACCGACUGAUGAAUUUCAAUUAGAAAGAUAUCUUCGACAAGGUGUUCCUCUUUCUCUCUUUCUUUUUCUACUAGCAGCUAAGGGAUUGAAUGUCGUGAUGAAUGCUAUUGUUGAGGCCGAGUUGUUUUUCGGAUAUGAUAUUGGUCACGGUGUAUCAAUAAGCAUUACCUUUUUACAAUUUAUCGAUGAUACAAUUAUUAUGUACGAAAAAAGCUUGGUGAAUAUCAGAGCUUUGAAGGCAAAUCUUAUCCAGCCCGACCUAGCCUUUAUAGUAAAAGAUUCAGGCUUAGACUUUUUAAAUAGCCUAUUUACCUUAAUAGACCAAACUUGGGCAUAUAAAAAAGCCUAAGAUGCACCCUCUCUCUCUCCUCUCUCUUCUCUCCAUCUCUCUCAUAUUUAAAGCAAUUUUUUUUAAGGGCAAUACUUACAUAUUGUGCCUUAGACACAAUUCAUCAUGUUCCUCACAUAAUUUUAUCUAAACUACGUCGUUUAUACUAUCAGUAAAGCAGCGGUUGGUAAAUUAGAUUUGCCAGUUUUCUUCUAUUCCCGUUCAAAACAGGAUGAACAGUACUUUGAGAACUUUACCCAAGUAUUUUCCUUUUUUUAUUAUUAGUAAAUUUUAGAAGAUAAUUGCACCGAGUAGAAUACAAUCCAUUUUAUCCUCUUGGUUCCUUUAAUUCUAUCUACCCUUUUAACUGUGACCAUAUUCAUUCGAACCAUUAUUUUCUGCAAAAAUUUCACGUUUACAACAUACUUGUCAUUUUUUUUUUGGGUUAAUAGUGUUUUUCACCCCUGUAAUAUAUGUCAUUUCCGCUUUUCGCCCCUAUAAAAUUUUCAGUUUGAUUUGCACCCUUGUAAAAUUUUUAUUUUCCGGAAAACACCCUUAAUAGGCCAUUCUAAAACCAAAAUUUAUUGAAAAAAAAUUCUGAAAAUGGCCUAUUAGGGGUGUUUUCCAGAAAAUAAAAAUUUUACGAGGGUGCAAAUCAAACCGAAAAUUUUAUAGGGGCGAAAACUGAAAAUAACAUAUUACAGGGGUGAAAAACAUUAUUAACCCUUUUUUUUUACGAAGAUUGUCUCUAGAACUUUAUAAAAAUGGUCUACCUAGAAGAUGUGAGUGUAUGCCUUAAUAUAAAGUAGGCCUUUAAAUAGAAUUAUGAGCUUGAUAGACCUUCAAAAAGGCUAGGCUCAUACUUUAAAAAUUGGCCUAUUACACGCCAAAGGUCAGGCUCGAGCUUAAACUUUUUAUGAUAGGACAGACUCGUGCCUUAUAAACCCAACCCGACCUACUCUAUUCCCACCCCUAAUUGCAAUAUGUGAGAUCAUAAAAUUGGAUAUUUUCUGUUGUUACAAAAGAAAGAUAUUGUAAUUGACCGUCAAAUCUCAAAUCAAGAGUCAUGAUCAUUUUAAAUUAUUUGAUCCCAAAUCAUCGAUUAAGAUAAAUAAAACUAAUAUACUUAUUACCUCAACAUAUCUUGGUUGAUCCUUCCUUCAAAAAAAAAAAAUCUUGGUCCAUAAGAUCACACAAAUUUAGGAUCCAUGGUCCCUAAAAACGUGUGAAAAGAUCUUGCUUGUGUCAUAUCUUCGUCAAAAUAAACCAUAUAACUAUUCAAAAGCUGUAUCCCAAAUUAGAAGCCACUAGACAGUGACACAAAAGUCAUUCCUCUAAGAUAAAAGUGCUUCCUUUUCCUACCCCAUCUCCAUUCUUUGUUAGCAUUCCAAUGUAAUUUUCUUUAGAAUUUGGAAUCCUUUAUUUCAAGGGACGGUCAUAAAGGAAAGGCUAUGUUUGACAAAGAAUCUUCCCUACUAAGAAAAAUACAUGUCAAAAGCAAAAAAAGGAGAAUAAGACUAUAGUUUAGUAUUUCCUAACAUGAUAAAGUAAAAGAAAUUAAUUAUGGACUGUCUAAAGGUGCUGCUUGCAGCUCAAGAUAAGCAAACACCCUUUAAUGUCUUUUUCUUGCUCCUUUCACUUGUCUUCCCCUUCACAAUUUUAUAUUCUUUGCUAAAAAAAAAAAUUGGUGAAAAUAUUCUUAGCAAUAUUAACAUUUUACAACUAAGAAAUCCACUAUCUUAUUUUAUUUUUAUUCUAAAAUUAUAUAACUGAUAUUAUGAAUAAAUACUUUUUAUUUUGCUAUUGGCAUAAUGAUCAAUAUAGAGUCAAAUUUAGCUCAUUUGAGGGGUUUUAAUAGAACCUUAUUUUAUUUUGCAUUUUAAACUCUUAAUAUUGUUUUUGCACCACUAACCAAGAACUCAAAGCUUGAACCCCUAGAUCGUUAUUGGUACAUAUUUAAAUAAACACAUAUGAUGAGAGAAAAAUAUGGUGACCCGGGAACUCGGAAUUUCAUAUAAAAUGUUAUCAUAGCUAAACUAUUCAUGUUUCUAGAAUUAUAAUGAAUGUGUAAUUCUUUUUUUUUUUUCAUACAUUUUUUUGAGAAUUUUUUUUUCAUAAAUUUAAUCAACUAAUGAUUUGCUUAUCAUAAUUUUCUCAAUGCAACACAAGAUAUGAGACAAUUAAUUUUUUGUCUAUGUUUUUAUUUUUGACAUUAUAAAUUUCAAAGGCUCCUAAUUCUAAUUUAAAAAAGGUAAUUUUUAAAAAAUAUUAUUUGGAAUAUAUGACAACACCUAUAAAAUCCAAAAAAAAACUUCAUUAAGAAAAAUAUUAAGUGCAUGGACACUUUCCAAAUCAAUAGCCAAUAAGCACAUUCCUUUUCAUAUUCUAAAAUUAUAUAUAAGUGACUCCCCUUAACAUAAUGCAUCCUUCUUUCUCCACCAUUUUCAAACCCCUCAUACCCAUCACAACCCAAACCAACAGAAUCCCAAACUCCACCGUUCAUCUUUCUUAUACCAUGCAUGAAAUAAUACACAUAUAAACACAAAUCUUAAACAUACCAUUUCCACAAAACUACCAAAAUGGCCACUGUUAGAAAACUUAUAGUAGAAGUAAUAGAUGCACAAAACCUAGCUCCCAAGGACGGUCAUGGAACUUCAAGUCUGUACAUAGUAGUUGAUUUCUACGGUCAAAGAAGAAAAACUCGAACCUUGGUUCGCGACUUGAACCCGGUUUGGAAUGAAACAUUGUCGUUUAAUGUUGGAGAACGUAACGAAAUUUUUGGUGAUGUUUUGGAACUUGAUGUUUAUCAUGAUAUGCAACACCGUCCAACCCGGAGAGAAAACUCGCUGGGUCAAGUUCGACUUAGCUCGACCCAGUUUGUGAAAAAAGGUGAAGAAGCUUUGAUUUAUUAUGAGUUGAAGAAGAAAAGUUUGUUCAAUAUGGUUCGAGGAAAAGUUGGCUUGAAAAUUUACUAUGUUGAUGAAGAAAUUCCUCCUCGACCAUCGGCACCUGUGCCGGAAAAUCCACCGACACCAUCGUCUGAGCCACCUUCCGUAAAAGUAGAAGAAUCGCCACCACCGCCAUCUGAGCCGGAAAAAGUUGAACCACCACCGCCAUCUGAAGCUGGACCCCAACCUAAGGCUGAAGAGGUGAACAAGAACCUAAGGUUAAAACGGAACCUGUUCUUGAACAAGUUCCGGUUCAGGAAGAAGUUGUAGAAAAUUACCAUGAAAAGUAAAAAAUUGCGACAAAAACAAGUGGUGAAAAAAAAUUAAAUUCCUCUCUAAUUUUGCAACACUAACGUACGAAUGUGAUUUUUCUUUGCAAUUUGUAUCUAAUGUUGCAUAACUGAAAUUAAACAACUCAUUAAAAAGCGCACGUGAUAACUUGUAUAGCUAAAACACAUGUGAAUAUAACUAAGAUAUCACAUGCAAUUUUUUGAGUCAUUUUAUCUUAGCCCUUUGUUUUAAUCCAACGACCACCAUUCAAACCUCUUAUCUCUUACAAUAAGUCAUCUCUCACCAUUUUAUAUAUGUAUGUAUGUAUGUAUUUAUAUCAUGAAGACAACUCCAAUCAUAGUAUUUUACAAUCUCAUUUAUCAUAUAUAACAUUUUUCAGUUUCUUAUUCUUCUCUUUUUCUUUACUUUUUAUAUGUUUAUUCUUUAUACUACUCCCACAUUCAUGAAAUGUAAUAAAUGAAUGUUUAAACAGUUUCGUUUCAACAAUACACUAACUAAUACAUGAAUAACAAUUUUUGAGAGAAUAACAAUGACAACCCACUUAGGUACGUCUGGUAGUGUUGAUUUGAGAAAUUGGAGUGUACUCGUCCUCAAUGUUUCAUGUUUGAUUCUUACAUAUGCUAAUUUGAAUGAGCUAAUUUAACUUCUAAAAAAAUAUGCGGAUAGAUUAAAUACAAAACAACCAAAUAAAUUGUGUAGUUUUUCAUUUAUGCACAUUUUAUAACUUAUAUAUUAAUUUUAGAAGCAAAUAGAAAUAUUUAUUGAGUAUCUACGUUGAUAUGCCUUGUUUCUCAGAUAAAGGUGAACAUGUAAAUAUUUUUGUGGUGAGACAUCUGAUAUUUUAUAUGUUAUUAUUUGGGGAUAAUUAAAUUAUAUUCUCACAUUUUGUUGUGUGAAAAUUACAUGAAUAUUCCUUACUCUUGAUUGACAUUUAUGAGAAAUUUCACCCUCUCAAAUUUGAGAUUGAUGUGUUAGUGAGGAAUUUUACAUCCCUAAUUAACUUAUAAAUAUUAUAUUAUUUUGGGAUAUAAAUAUAAUUUAUCUUGUAUCCAAAAUAUUCGAAAGAUUUGAUUUAUUUCAUACCCUUAAAAUUUGAGAUUUAAAUUAUUUUGAAAUCUCUAAAUAUUUGAUGCAAAUUGAUAUGAGUAUUAUACACUUUUAAAUCAUAUAAUCUCUAAUUUUCAGUUAUCUGAAAAAUAUUUUUUAAAGUACUAGCAUUUAGGUAAAGUGUUAUAAUUGUGAAAAAUUUUAGACUCAAACUUAUUAUUUUGAGAUUUGAUGAUACCCUCAAAACUAUAUGUCCUGUCAAUAAUAACUUGACUAUUAUACUAUAUAUAUUCUUAUUUAUGGGUUUCAAAAUUUUGUCAAAUCUUGAAAAGAUCAAAUAUAAACUAAAUUGAGAAUAAUCUCUUUUAAAUCUAUAUAUUCUCAAUAUUUGAGCCUACAUUAUUUUAAAAUUUCUCAUUUAUAUUAGUAACACUAACUAUCUAAUAAAUUAAAAUAUUACUAUUGUGAAUUAUAGAAGGCUCAAUUCUAUUAAUUCUAAUGCCAUAUAUAUUGAAUUUAAUAUAUUAUUUCCUUCAUAUUUUCUUAGCAUAAAGAUCAAAAAUUUACUAAUUGAUCAUUUUUGUGGCGACAUAUUUAAACUAAGACACUUGUCUUUGAUUCUUGUCACAAAUUGUUUUGAAGGGUCCUCAUAAUAUUUUUGUUUUCAAAAUGAGUACAUUGAGUAAUAUAUAUAUAUAUAUAUAUAUAUAUAUAUAUAUAUAUAUAUAUAUAUAUAUAUGUCAUUUAUAUUAAUUAAAUCUAAAAUCGGCAUAUUUCUCUUUAAUAUACAUUAUACUUUCUACUAUACUCUCUGAUCUAGACCCGUAAUUUAUUAUUCUAAAUUUUGUGAUAAAUAAUGCUAACUCUUUAAUUAUGUGUCUUUUCACAAUUAAAUAUUUGGAUCAAGAUAAUAUUAAACUAUAUAUAAUGCAUUGUUGCAUUUUUUAUGCUAAAUAUGCAUUGUUGCAUUUUUUAUGCUAAAAUUCUAAUUAUGAAUUAAAAUUUGCACACCUCUUUGUUGUUUAUCCGUUAAAUUUAUCAAAACAACAUAUGAAGAAUUCAUGCAAUUUUAAAUCAUCCUUACAACUGAACACUUAUAUAAAUCAUAAUGAGUUAUAAUUAGAGUCUCAUAUAUAUUUAAUUAUAAUGACUUAUUCAUGAUUAUUUUGAGAUGACUAUAUUAUAAGAUAUUCUCGUUAAGUCAUCAAAAGUCAUUGGCUCUAAGCAUAAGGAUGAAUGUCACACACUACGAGGUAAGUUGUGUUUUAAUUAUUUUUAUCAUCUUGUGACUUAUCCUAUAUUAUUGCACAUAUGAAAAUAUUUAUUCAUUCUUCUCUUUUGUUGUGCAAUUAUGAUAUCCUAUAUAGAAGUGAAAUUCUUUUUUCAAAAUAUUCUAAAUAGAACUCUAUAAUUCUUAUAUAUUUUACUAUAAUACUCCAUUUGUAUUUAUAUUCUAAUUUUAAUCUAUAGUGAGAGUACUUAAAAUUUUAUUCUAAGAGUUCUAUUCGGGAUAAAAUAGAAAAUGAUUUGACACACUUGUAUUCUAAAUAAUAACUUUUGUUAGUAUACUAUUUCAUAUAGAUAAAUUCUAAAGUCAUAUUUAUGAUGUGCUAAUUUAAAAUAUUGUUAAGCACAUUUUUCUAUUAUUUGAAUAUGAUCAAAGUUGAGUAAAUUAUGUACAAUUGUUUAUGCAUGAUAUUAUUUUAUCAUAUUCUCUUAAGCAUAAACAUUACUGAUUUGUAUAAUUGUAAUCUCACCUAUCGUGGAUACUCUUAUGCAAAUUUUGUUAAAUAAAUUACUGUUAUAUUGGUGACAGUCAUACUCUAUCGGUGUGUUGUUAUUAAUAUAAUUGUUAUUGUUCAAUGUACCUUAAUUUUUAUACUUAUGUCAAAUAUAAUUAGAGUACCCUAUCAAUAUUUAAAUUUUUUGAGACAUAAAAAUUGUACAUUGUGAUGAUAUAGUUCUUACUUAUUAUCCUUAAGGUCCUUGAGUGAGAUUACAAUAAAUAAGUUACUCUAUUAAAAGACAUGUAGAAAAUUGUAUAAAUUUUGCAAUCCAAUAUUAUUAUAUUUUGAAUUAAAAUUCUACCUAAAUGUGAUUUUUUAUAUAUACAAAUAUUUUGGAUUGCUACUAUCCCUUUGUUAUAUGAGUGACGGACAUACCCUAUCGGUGUGACGUUACUUAACAUAUCAUUUUGUGAUAGAGAAGUAGUUGAAUAUCUUAUUUAAAAUAUCUUUAAUUCAACUAUCAUUGUCUAUUCUCUAUCAAGUGGGAGAAUCAUUGCUAUGUAUUGUGUAACGUGAUGGGCAUACCCUAUCGGUAUGACAUUACUUAACAUAAUCAUCUUUUUAUGAGUAAGAAAAAUACCUUAUUAGUUUAACUAUUAUUCUCCACUAAGUGGAGAACAUAUAAUUCUUCAACCGGCUAGGAAAAUUCUACAUAUCAAUUAACUAUAUCUCAUGAACAAAUAUAUUAAUUUGUUUCAUAACUCUAGAUAUAAAAUUAUUGUAGAGACUUAUAUUGAGGAUAUUAAUUAUAUUCUUUUCUCAUAAACUAUUAUACACUUCCAUAUCCUUUUAAAUUAUUAUAAAAUUAUUUUGUAAAAGCAAUAUGUCAAAAUCACAAAGUUCUUAACUACUCUAUUGAGAAAGAAAAAAAAAUAUUUAUACCAUUAUUCUAAAUAAUUAUAAAUGGUAUAUAUGGGACAUUAAAUUUUACCAUUUUACUAUAUUUUGACAUAUUUUAUAUUAUUGCUAUUAUUUAAUACUUAUGGAAGCUUAUGACUAUUUUCUCUUAUAUCCUCAAUAAUAAUAAAAUAUAAGUCUAGUGCAUUUCCGCUGCGUGUAACCUAAUCUUUUCUCAAAUGUGUGUAAUUAUAAGUGUAGCAUUUGAGUUUUGAGUGAGUUACUACAAUUGUGAAUAGAGUCUCCUAUCCUAUUUUAUAAUACUAGAGACUUAUCUCACUCAUAUGAUGAUAAACCUUUUAUAUAAUCAUCAUACUCUGUCAUAUAAAUGUUACUAUAUUUAUAAAAUUCUUUGGAAUUUUAAUUGUGAAAGGAGAUAUUGUGUUAUAAAAUUCUUAAAUGAAAAUUUACAUUCUCCUUAAAUCUAAAUGCAGAAUAUGUGGUUAACUAAGAAACUCAAUUCUUGAUAAUAUCUGCCAUUGAUAAAUUAUACAUUCUAUGAGUUUCAUACUAUCAUUAAGUUACCACUUUUGUUAAUAAUUAUGUUAUACUCAUGUGCAAAAUAUGUGGUUGAGUUCAUGAAACUCUACUAGUUAAAGUUACAUAACCACUUAUGUUGAUAAUCUUGCACUAAUAAUUAAGUAUCCCACUGUUGAAUAUUACAUUAUUAUAAUAUUUUUAUAUCAAUGAUCACUAAUGUGAAUCCCACUUACUCUUGUUUAUAUAUAUGUGGGAUCAGUGGGAGUGUGUACACAACACUAUGUAUUAUGAGCUCAAAUGAGAAAUCUCACUCUUGUUUAUACAUAUGUGAGAUCAAGAGAAAUGUGUACACAAUAUUAUUCUCAUCGUUGCCAUAUACUCUUGUGCACACUAUAAAAUAUGGCAUAGCUUAAGAGACUUUUAAACUUUAGUCUCAUUCUAUUAUAUUGAGAUAUAUAUUAAAAUUCUUUUAAUAUCUCAAUAAGCAUCAUAAUUGAAUGCUUAAGUCAAUUUUGUUGGAAUAUGCACAAUAAUCUCUCAGUAUGCAAAUAUAUAUUGUGCUUCUCUUUUACCAACAUUCCACAUUUUAUGAGGUUGUAAAUAAUAAGUACAAUGUAUAAUAUCAAUACUCCUAUCGAGUAUGAUAUUGUGUUCUUGUAGUACUUAUAAUUUGAGAUAAUCAUAAAUGUUCGUUCAUUAUUGACAUUUUAGUGGCCACAUUAAUCCACAUCCUUUUUCUUUAAACUAAGUGUUUAUGUCAAUCAAUUUUGGAGAUUCUUGAAUUUCCUAUUUCUUUAUGGAUUUUCAUAGUCACAUUUUUCUAAAACGUGGAUUAAUUGAAUGUCGUAGAACAUUUAUCGAUUUAGACUAAAUGUAAUUACUCUCUCUUUAUAGGCUAUCCCUAUAAGUAAUUAUUAUUCUUAUAUCUUUGUGGAUAUAUGACUUUUAUAGAAUUGAAAACUCAUUGGCAGAACCACUAACCACAAACUUAUAUAAAUGAGUAUUGUAACUCAUAAUGAUUUGAUUAAGACUAUGAUAUUUUGGGUUAGUGGGAGUUUGUUAUAGCAUUUUUUUAAAAUGUUUCGGUCAUUCUUUAUUGACACAUUCUUUUAAUUCAAGUAUGUCACUAUAAAUUCAUCAUUUGUUAGAAAAUGGAGUCUUUGACCUGGAUGAUUUGUUUUCCCUAUCGGAUUCAAUUUCUGCAGUAUUAAAGUUUACUUCUCUUUCGAAUUAGUGCUUUGACCAUACAUAUAUUUUAAAGUUUAAACUUUAUAUUCUUUUAGUAAUUGAGUAUUGUCAUCCAAGUGGGAGAUUGUUGGAUUAAUUAUUUAAUUAAUCAAUUAUAGAUUGACAAUAAUCAAUUAUUAUAAAUUAAUGUUAUAAUUUAUAAUAUGGUCUAUUGUAUUAAACAUUCAUUAGUUGAUGAAUAUGUAUGAUUGGGCUAUUCUAACUAAAUGGACCGUGAUGGGUUGAACCAUUUAGCUAAGCCCAAUGAGAGGUCCCUGCCCUCAGCCGUUUAGCUAUUUAAACGUUAUCCCAUCAGACGGUUAAACUAUUCUUCUGAACAUUCUGGUGCUAAACGGAAUGAGGGUAGUCAUCCCUCUCAUCCUUCAUGAACCUAAACAUACAAGGUACAUAAUUUCUUAUUCCUUCUGUGAUACUGAUACUGAUAUGCUAUAACUUGUAUCUACUGAUCCAUGGCUGAAUCCUAAAACUUUUAUCAACAUCAUCCUCUUGCCUAAUAUUUUUUUUAAAAAAAUAAUAUAUGUUUUUCAAUUUAUUUUUAUCAAAUUAAUAGUGAUGAUUCUUUUGCAAAGUAAAACUUCUUGGAUCUUUGAUUAUCUUUGUAACAUCUCGAAAUUCAUAGCUCAGCUGGUUUUGACAAUGCAUAAUAUAUGUAAGGUUUGGGGUUCGAACUCCGGCCACCAAAAAAAAAAAAUUUCCUCAAAUUAUCUUCUUUUAUUUUUUUUAAAAACCUAAACUCUUGCCCUUUUAUUUUCUCGAUUCUUAGUUUUGUUUCACAGACAAAUCUUUCAAAAUCAAAUUGUACAUUAUGUUAUGGAGGUUACAUGAUUCCAAUGUUUGAGAUGUUGAGAACUUUCAUUAUGAAUAUGGAUAUGUGGCAAUAUCAGAUACACACAUACAUUCACUUAUACAUCCACUUACAUACAUUCGCUUAGAAUAAUUUUUUUUUUUUUUUUGUUACAUUAUUAUUAAGAGAAAGCACAAUAAAGCAUAUAACAACUUUUCUUGUUGAGAAAAAAUAGCUCCAUACUGAAAAUAUCUUUAUAGGAGAGGUGUUGAAGAUCACACUAUCUGAAAACUUGUGGGGGUCCUCCUUUCCCAAUACAAGAGCAUUAACUUUACAAGCAAAAGAUGAGACAGGAAAAUGACUGGCUGAAAGAAAAGGUUAGUAAAUUUCUUUCAUUGAUUAUAUUUUAAUUUUAAUAAAAUAUCGAUUAUAACACACACACACAUGGUUCUUUCUUGCACGACAAUCCUCACCGGCCAACCUCUCACUAGUUAACUCCAAUACAAUAAUAAAAUUAUACUUCUUACUUUUUAUGAAAAGAUGACAAAAUAUAAAAUUGAAUGAUUGUGUAAAACAUAAUUAUUUUAUUGUUGUAUAAUUAUUAAACUCAUUCAUAACAACGAGUAAAAGAUUGAUAACUUACAACAUUAAUGUAUGAAUCUAUAGUAUAGAAACAACAGAUUGUGAUUUUUCUAAUUGCAUCUAAUGUUGCAUAACUGAAAUUAAACGACUCAUUAAAAAGCGCACGUGAUAACUUGCAUAACUAAAACGCGUGUGAAUAUAAAUGAUGGAGAAAUGGCUCGAAAAUACGUUGUACGGAAAUAAGGAGAAAAGAAAAAACUUGAUAAGUUGCUUAGUUUUGGUGUGCUUUGAGACACAAACGCUCCUUAUAAGGGACUUUAGCGUUUUUCAAUUCACACUUACUAGUAUAUUCUACUAUCCAACGUGGGACUCUAGAGUUUAUUUUUCUUUCAAUCCAUACACUCUAUGUUUCACACUAAUUACAAUUUAAUGGAUGAUUAAAAAAUAUAAAAAAGUAUCACAACUCAUUAAAUAUUAAUUGAACAUAGUAAAUCAAUAUUUUAUUAAUACGGGCUUAAAUUUGCUACUAAUUAACUACUAAAUGAUACUCUCAAAUGUUACUGAAAUCAUUUAGUAACACGGGUUUUGGCUUUACCUAACAUUUGUCAAAUGAUACAAGAUCUAAAUAGUAAUAUUUGUUUUUGAUUUAAUUAAGUUAUUAUCUAUGUAUAUGUUGUUGGAAUUUUAGUUUAUAAUUUAUUUUCUUGACUAAUAAAGCCACGUUUUUAUAUAAAUUGAUUUAUUCUCUUGACUAAUAAAGCCACGUUUUUUCUACUCCUAAUUUAACCGUUACAAGCUUUACUAAAUGUCAUUUAUUCUCGGUUACUCUCCUACUUUUUCGGUUUCAAUUUUCCACAUUAAUCGGAAUUAAUUUGUACGUGUUUACAUAAUAUAAAUAAGUGGGUUUGGGGCGCAGGAAGAGAAGAUAGAACAUAUGCACAUAUAUAUGUUGCUGAAGAAUAAUAGCUACUUCAAUCUCUCUUCUUUUUCAUUCACGUAUCAAAUAAUAAUAACUAAAAUAUAGUUCCCUUUAACAUCCAAGAGUUAAAGUUUAUGAAUGCCUUUAGGGCAUUGUUUAGUAACUUUAAAUAGUAAAUUUUUGUUAAAGUUUAUGAAAUCAAUAUAUUAGAAAUUUGAGUUUUUUAUUUUUUUAAAGAAUAAUUUCUUUACUAUGGUAUUGUGCAGUAAAUGGACGGUGCUAGAGUUUCAAGAUUAAAUUGAAUUAAAUGGGUGGUGCAAACUCUUAGAGGAAAACUUAACCACUACUUAAUACAUCUUCAGCUUGGCUCUUUUCUUUCAACACGAUACAACAUCUUCAGCUUUGUUCACCUACUUCUCCUUCACAGCUCUUGUACACGGUGAGCAUUCACAAUUGUUCUAGUAUUUAUUUGAUGUUCAUCUAGAAAUGUUCUAUGUGAAUUUUCAUUUUAGAAAAAACAUUGCAUCUAAAAAUUUAUGUAUCUGUUUUUAUUUUCAUUAGUCUUUCGUUCUGAGAUUUGGACCAUUUUUGCUGAUGUAAUUUCGUUUCAUUUUGAGUAAAUAUUUUCUCUGUAAUUUUGGUUUCUACAAAUAUAUUUAGUAUAACUUUUUAUGAAAUUUAGUAUUAUUUGGUUAUAUGUUUAAAAAAUUUAGCCUCACUAAUAUUUUAGAUCCAGACCCAUCUUUGUUCAUAAACCUAAGAAACACAAUAUCGAUAUGCAUGUAUGUUGAACUAUUUGGAAAGAUCCACAAUAUCAAAUAGAAUUGAAUUGUUUAACCAACAUUAUGAAUUCAUCAAGUGAUUUGAAGAUUAAUAUAUUUUGCAAUAUAACUUAUAAUAAUCGACAUUAGAAUUUCUAAAGUAAACGUACAUUGAACCUAUAUGAAGUUUUAUGAUAUGUGUAAAUAUUACAUUUCUUGUAUUCAUGCAAAUGUAUAGAGUACAUUUCAUGUG